GUUAGUGGCUUUUGGAUCCGGCACACCUCGCUGCGUUUAUGCUGGGCACCGAAGCCCCGCAGUUGUCUGCUGCUUGGUGAAGUCCUCGCUAGAUCAUUAGCUCCAAAUGAGAGCAGAGAUCUUAUGUGAUGUAUGUGCUGCCGUUAUCUUCCAGAACAGGCCAGAGACACUCUUAGCUGGGUCCACCACCUGAGGGGAUCAUCUUGAAGUAAGGUCCCUGCUCUCAUGGAAAUUGCAUCCUAUUGGGGUUACAACGAAAAUUAAGCAAAACGGCUAUAGUUUUCACGUGUUUUGAAUAAUAGGAUUGCGAGAGACGACUCAGCGGAAACUCGCAUGUUGAGAGUGCAGUCAUGUGAUCAACUGGGCACAGAGUUCACUACACUCUGUGCAUAUAAACUAAGGAGGUGCCUUAUGCUGGGCACUGCGCUAAAGGAGGAAGGCGUGGUUUCUGCUCCCAGGGCACUGGUCUAGUACCCUGCUCGCCAGGUUGAGUGAUUGGUAAACGAACUCUCAGCAUCAAUACCUUUGGGAGUUUUUUGCAAGUGCAAAGUAUCCAGUUUCUCAGAUUGGAUUCCUGUCAAGUGUUUUUACCUUUAUCUAUGCACUUUACUUUCAGAAGGUCUGGUGGUGGAAAUAUUACAAGGCAUAGGUAAACGUAUCACCUUUGGCUUGUGCCUUUUUUGCUCCAAGCCUGCUACUGUCUUUAAUUCUAACAAGCUUGUAAGAUGCACUAUAGAACCUGAAGCCAACUCAAUUUUUGUGCCGUCAGCGGACAACCCUGACCCAGUCCAUACCAUAGAGGCUCACCAGAAGAAAAGAAUAAAGGACAAAAUGCAUAAAAGUACACAGGAACAGAUAAGAGAAGCAAAAUCCUUAGAUGACAGGCAUAUGGAAAAGAAACCAUUUCAGGGCUUUGGACUGAUAGCACUGGGGAGAACAGAAACUUGGUGAAGCCUCUUACAGACCUUCAGGUGGACGAGCAGACCCAGCACAAAACCUACUCCUGCUGUGAACUUCACCUUCCAUUAGAUUUGUGCAUGGCAGUGCCACUCUUCAAGGCCACUGAGCUUAUUUUCUGUGGGCUCUGAGGUCACAUGGCCAUUCCCCUAAAAACUCCUCUGGUUGGAAUUGUGUGGCUGACUCACUAUCUUUCUCCUCCUCAAUACCCAUGAUGCAUUAUGUACAGAGGAUUUGCAAAUGUGAAAAUAUGUGCAGACACCAUGGAGAGCAGUGUGAAGGUUCUUUGGAAGAAUAAAAAUAGAACAACCAUAUGGCCCAGAAAGACCUCUUUUGUGUACAUUUAAAAGAAAUGAAAUCAGCAUGUGGAAGAGAUAUCUGUACUCAUGGGUUUGCUGCAACACCCUUCACAAUAGGAAGGGACAGAAUCCAUCUUAAUUUCCUGUGGGUGAAUGGAUGGAUGGAUAAGCAAAUUGGCAGGUGGCCUGUGGAAUAUUAUUCAACCAAGAAAGUAAGGAGAAGCCAGCACUUUCAGUAACUGGAGUGAUGCUAGAGGACACUGUGCUGAAUUACAUAAGCCAGGCACAGAGAAAUCUGGCACAACCUCACUUACAUGGGCAAUCUAAAAAUGUAAACUUAUAGAGGCUGAGAAUAAAGGGUGGUCAACAGGGGUGAGGGUGAAAAAUAGGUGUUGGUCAAAGCUACAUGGGCACAUGUAUGCCAGGUGAGUGAGACCUAGAGAUCUGCACAUGUAGUUAAGAAUGUGGUCUUUUGCCCUUUAAAACCUGUUCAGAGGACAGCUCUCUGGUUAAGUAUUUUUGCAUUACAAAGCAAAGCUCACAGGGGAGCAUGAGGAAAUGGCAGGAGGACUUGUGGCCCCAGGGUGUUCCAGGUGUGUGUAGUGGCCAGCCCACUGAGGUGCCAUCAGAUAGAAGGAAUUAUUUGUUUUUAUUGUGCCUCCUACUAAGGAAGGGGUCAUGAAGGGGCAGUGAAGGUGGCUUCUCCAGGGGCCAGGAGGCAUCUCUUCCACCUGAGCUCCUAAGUGGACUCAGCUGCUCAGGCUGAACCCUUUCCACCUGCCCGCACCCUCCUCAUUGCCUGCAUCUGUGGGAGAUGUGCUGCAUGUGCACAUAGAUCUUUGGCCAAGGGGCAAGGACUGGGAAUGUAGCCCUGCCCUGCUCUUCAGUCCACAAUGGAAUUUGAAGGAGGGUCCCAGGAUUGGCUGCUGCCCUCCUCUUCUGCUCUGCUUUUCUGCUCUGUUCUACUUGUUUUUAUCAUAAGUAGAUUAGUAACAAAUCCCCUGGUUUUGGGUGUGUGUGUGUGUGUGUGUGUGUGUGUGUGUGUAUGAUAGAAUGGCCUUAGGCCUGAGCCUAAGCAACUCUAUUUUGAAAAACCUGAAGUUUCACCAGGCACACCCACAGGUCCCUCCAGUAUGGCCUCAAACAAUUUCUUUCCCUUACCCUGAUAAAAAGAGUGAAGCCCCUGGCUGGCUGUCCUCACCUGAUAAGAGGGAAAGGCAAGAAGAUCAGGGUGAAGACCCAAAAACCAGAUGUUUCUAACCCCAGGGCGAAUGAUGUCACUGAGAAAUCUGGUGGUAGCUGAUAAGGAUUGAAAGGGAGGUAAAAAAAAAAAAACAAAUUUAGUAUAAGUGAUAAAGCAAAUGAACCGGGAUUCAGCCAGCCAAAAAAUGAAAUCCCAGUGUCAAUGGAGACCAUCUGGAUGUCUGGACUUUCCCCCUGUCUGGAGGUAACAAGGCUCUUUUUCCUUCCCAGUGAGUUGCUGCCAGACACAGCUAGUGAGGCGGGAGCAAUAUAUCCCUGCUCAGAAAUGACAACACCAUCCCACAGCACAGCACCACUGGGGACUUGUGAAGCUAUAAUGAGGCACCUCUGCCCCUCAGUUGAGGGUGUUUCUAGUGGAAGUGCAGUGGGCAGUUUGAACUCCACCCAAAUCUAUCAGUGAUGAGCUUGCAUUGAGAAAGCUGGACUUCCUCCUCCAUUGGGUGAAAAUGGAAUGUGCCUCUCACCUCCCAAAGGAGUGUUACCAAUGCGACCAAUGAAAAGAGAGGAAGUUGGUGCCUGCAUCUUCAUGAUGGAGUGUUAACCCUCUGUUUUCUUCUAGAAGUUGCAAGGUUUCUAUUCUAAUUCCCAAGUUUUUGGUUCGUUUAGACUUGACUUUUGUGCAGGGUUAGACAGGGGUCUAGUUUCAUUCUUCUACAUAUGCACAUCCAGUUUUCCCAGCACCAUUUAUUCACGUGGACACAGAGGAAUGGGCAUGAGGGCUCACUGAAAGUGGAGUCCUCAGAACAUGAGGUCCAGAGACAGCCCAGCCUCUGGAAGCACAGGCUGUACCUAUAGCUUCAGGUGGGCACUGUACAGUGAGCCUGGAAGGAUGGAGAGAGCAAACCUGUCACUGAGGGGCUUUCAUGGCUCCUUAUCCUGAAGAGCAAAUCAUGUAUGAAUUUUUGCAGAAAACCCUUAUGUGUAUGGUCAAUAUUAUUAUGUGCUGAGGCAUCACCAAGAAUAAUGGGCAUGUGAGAACAGAAAAGAAUGGAGUCAGACUCCCUACAUCACUUCAUAUACAUACACACACACACACACACACACCCUCAAAAUAUAUCACAGAACUCAAUACAAAAUUAAAAUUACAGACUCCUAAAAAACAGGAAUACGUUAUUUUGGCCUUACAUUUAGAAGUAGUUACUAAUUUAAGGCACUAGCUAUGCAAUGAAAGAAGUAAUAAGUAAAUUAAUCUUUAUUGAAAAUUAUAGCUUUUGAGUAUCAAAGAAUGCACUAAAAAUGAAUUGACAACUCACAGAAUGGAAGAAAAUAUUUGCAAAUCAUAGAUUAUAACUCAGAACUGAUUGUUACCCCAAAUAUAGAAAGAACUGUUACAACUAAACAACAAAGAAAAUCCAAUAAAAAAGUAUCCAAAGAUUUGAAUAUGCACUUCUCUAAAGAUCAUUAUGUUUGAUAAGUAAUCAUUUAUCAUUUAUCAUUAAGGAAUUGCAAAUCAAAGUCAUAACAAGAGAACACUUUAUGAGUAGAAGGAUGGCUACAAUCAAUGACAUGGACAAUAGCAUAUCUUCUCAGGGACAAGGAUACACUGUGACCUGGUGAAGAAAUGUAAAAGAUGAGCCUGCUUUCUAGCACAGUCUGGAAACUCCUUCCAUGUUAAACACAGACUUACUAAAUGACCCAGCAAUACCACUCCUAGGUGUACAUCCAAGAGAAACAAAGUUAUAUGAGUGUUCACAGCAGCAUUAUUCAAAUAGUCAAAAAGUACAAGUGACUAAGUCAACAAACAAAAUAGUUUAAUAAAUAAGGCAUAUCCAUCUAAUGGAAUGUUGUUCUGCAAUAGAAAGGAAUGGAGUACUGAUGACAUGCUAUGACAUGAAUGAACCUUGAAAAUAUUAUGCCAACUCAAAGAAGCCAGUCACAAAAAGACAGGGUCUCACUAAGUUGCUUAAGGCACUGAUUUUAUCCUUGAUGAAGGAAGGGUCACUUGGCACUUUGUCCCCCCAUACAGACAGCCACACACCUCUCCAGGCACAGUUAGAAACAUGCUUACUGAAAAGUUCCUGGGAGAAGCCAGGUUUCACAGCAUGCUUUGCAUGGUCCUCUCCCAAGUUCCUUGAUGCCACAAUUCCUUUCAACACCUGUUUCUCUACUAGGUCCUCCAGACGGAAGGCAGCAUCUUUUGGAAUAUUCCUUGUCAUGCUAUGCCAUUACCCUGCCCAGACUUUUCCAUUCCUGCCUUCCUCUGGACCUCACCAGAGAGCCACUUUCAAGGUUGCUCAGGGCAGAGCACACUACUCUCAGGGAGCAUGCCCUGCAGCCUCAGAAGGUGCUCUCCUUAGAGGCAUGGGAUAAUGGAAGAAAGGGGACUCAGGAAAAAGUGCAUCAUGUAAUUUAUAUCAGGGAAUUUUUCUAUGGAUACAUAAAAUAUAUUCAUAUCUUGAAUAGAGGUUUACAUGUUCCAAAGGAAUUGUCAUUUCUUAUUUCCAGGAAUCUGUCACUUUAAAACUCUAACAAUAGGAGGCCAUGUUUGUCAUAUUUUUGACCUUCAUAAAGUUGUAUGUUGAAAAAAAAAGUUGCAUGUUGUCCUCUGACCCAAUAUUAAUAGAGCUAAUGCCAUAAUGACUCAUUCAACCAAAAUUUCAGGCAAGGAUUUAUGAACAGCAUGCCAUCACCAACCAAGCCCUCCCAAAUGAAUCCUCAAAUGGACACCUCACCAGGCUGGAUAUCCCGGGAUGUGGAACCAUCUAAAACACCUAUUGAAAUUAGGCCACGUGCCAUCCUUACU